rnacentral:rRNA from 1 species
AUGCCUUUGCCCGGCUUAAGGCAGUCAAGGCGCCGGCUCUGGCAGCUCCCCGUUUUAAGUCAUCAAUUCUUUUUGGCAACACAGAUAACUGCUUCAGUGUGUGCAACACUUACGGCUGGCGGCUUGUUGAAGAUAAGCUUCACGGAACACUUGAAAAUUGCAAAUGUUGGACAUGGAGUUGGGUCCGAUAUCUUGAGGGUGAAGUUGGAAGAAAUGAAGCACAUCACGGAAAAACUUUGA